rnacentral:rRNA from 1 species
UACGAAGGGUGCAAGCGUUACUCGGAAUUACUGGGCGUAAAGCGUGCGUAGGUGGUUUGUUAAGUCUGCUGUGAAAGCCCUGGGCUCAACCUGGGAACUGCAGUGGAUACUGGCGGACUAGAGUGUGAUAGAGGAUGGUGGAAUUCCCGGUGUAGCGGUGAAAUGCGUAGAUAUCGUAAGGAAGACCAGUGGCGAAGGCGGAUCUCUGGACAGUUACUGACACUGAGGCACGAAGGCCAGGGGAGCAAACGGGG